GGGCCGGUGAGUACAGGGACGGGACGGGACGGGACUGGACUGGACUGGACUGGACUGGACUGGACUGGGUAGCAUAGGAUAGCGUGGAAGGUGUAUCCAGGGCCUUUGUCGCCAUUUGGAAGGAGAGAGUGUCUUCACUGUGUGCUCACUCACUUCAGGGAGAGGUGCGGAAAGGCAGACCCUGAGGAGAGCAAUCAGCGUGCCUGAAUCUUUUUGAUGCAGGGAACCCAACAGGUUUUAGAAGAAGUCAGACUUGGUUAUGACUCUGCCUGGUACUGCAACAUUCACCUCACCAGAGCACCUUCUGCACCUUUGCAGGCUGACUACUUGAAGGUGGCAGACGUCUGGGUCUUCUCAUUUUAUGCCUCUCCCAGUAAGUGAAAUAAAAGGAAGGGGAAAGAUACCACUUGGAGU